rfam:Arabis alpina cultivar Pajares Aa.chr8_contig_831, whole genome shotgun sequence.
GUCGAGCUAAAUAAACGAUAGCUUGUAACCCAUGUGGGAACAGUAAAGAUGGUGGAACAGUUGGCUCGGUCCCCACGGAUCGGGAUCCGAUGAUGACGGUUCGGACUGCCCGGUCCAAGCUUAUGAGUGAGCCGUGUGAGCUAAGAUGGAGGAGGAUAAUGCGUAAAGGCUGGUUUCACAGAUCAGCGACUACCUCCCGCUCAUAGCAGUGGACGGACGACGGUUCGGCGCUUCUCAGAUCCCACUAUGGUCCGAUGGUUCGUACUCAGUUGAACCACCAUUUUU